CUUUCAGGGGGACAAGUGCAGAUUGCCAGCUCAUGUGCAGCUUUUCAUCCACCAAUACCUCCAAGUCUUUCUCUUCAGGGAUGCUCUCAAAAGGUCAGGUCAUCAGCCAUUUAGCUCACUGCUCUUCCAUCGGCUGGCUCUCCUGGCCUUUAACAAGCAACUGAGUGCUCAAAGCCUUAGUUUUGCACUUGUGGAAGAGAAAAAACACCCUCUCAGAGUAGGAUCUGGAAUAGUCUGGAACAAAAGAAGAAUGAGUGAAAUGGAAAAUUAAGCA